CACAUCCAAGGAAGGCAGCAGGCGCGCAAAUUACCCAAUCCCGACACGGGGAGGUAGUGACAAUAUGUAACAAUAUACGGCUUUAUCGUCGUAUAAUUGGAAUGAGUACAAUUUAAAUCCCUUAACGAGGAACAAUUGGAGGGCAAGUCUGGUGUCAGCAGCCGCGGUAAUUCCAGCUCCAAUAGCGUAUAUUAAAGUUGUUGCAGUUAAAAAGCUCGUAGUUGGACCUUGGGCCUGGACGGGCGGUCCGCCUCACGGCGUGUACUGUCUUGCCGGGCCUUUCCUCUUGGUGAUCUGCUGUUUCGGCAGCAGGGAACCAGGACCUUUACUUUGAAAAAAUUAGAGUGUUCAAAGCAGGCAGUUGCUGUGAAUACAUUAGCAUGGAAUAAUGAUAUAGGACCUUGGUUCUAUUUUGUUGGUUUCUAGGACUUAGGUAAUGAUUGAUAGGGACAGUUGGGGCGGUCUGUAUUCCAAAGCGAGAGGUGAAAUUCUUAGACCUUCGGAAGACAAACAGCUGCGAAAGCGUUCCGCAAGGAUGUUCCCUUUGAUCAAGAACGAAAGUUGGGGGAUCGAAGACGAUCAGAUACCGUCGUAGUCUCAACUAUAAACUAUACCAGCUAGGGAUCGGCCAACGUUAUUUCAAACCGACUUGGUCGGCACCUUAUGAGAAAUCAAAGCAUCUGGGUUCCGGGGGGAGUAUGGUCGCAAGGCUGAAACUUAAAGGAAUUGACGGAAGGGCACCACCAGCCGUGGAGCCUGUGGCUUAAUUUGACUCAACACGGGAAAACUUACCAGGUCCAGACAUAGUAAGGAUUGACAGAUUGAUAGCUCUUUCUUGACUCUGUGGGUGGUGGUGCAUGGCCGUUCUUAGUUGGUGGAGUGAUUUGUCUGGUUAAUUCCGUUAACGAACGAGACCCCAGCCUGCUAAAUAGCGCGCGUGAGCUUUGCUCGCGGCGAGCUUCUUAGAGGGACUAUGAUGCGCGAUAGCACAUGGAAGUUUGGGGCAAUAACAGGUCUGUGAUGCCCUUAGAUGUUCUGGGCCGCACACGGGCUACACUGGCGCCUGCAACGAGCAUAUCAGCUGGUCCGAGAGGGUCUUGGCUAAUCUUUUGAACCGGCGCCGUGCUUGGGAUUGACCUUUGCAAUUGUUGGUCAUGCAACGAGGAAUGCCUUGUAAACGCGAGUCAUCAGCUCGCAUUGAAUACGUCCCUGCCCUUUGUACACACCGCCCGUCGCUCCUACCGAUGAAUGUUCCGAUGAAAUUUUCGGAGAGCACCUGUGAACUUGGCUCUGCCUUGCGAACGGGAGGCUCAAAGUCACUUAAAUCUGAACAUUUC
rnacentral:rRNA from 1 species